rnacentral:rRNA from 1 species
ACGCGAAGAACCUUACCUGGCCUUGACAUCCAGAGAACUUAGCAGAGAUGCUUUGGUGCCUUCGGGAACUCUGAGACAGGUGCUGCAUGGCUGUCGUCAGCUCGUGUUGUGAAAUGUUGGGUUAAGUCCCGCAACGAGCGCAACCCUUAUCCUUUGUUGCCAGCGGUUCGGCCGGGAACUCAAAGGAGACUGCCGGUGAUAAACCGGAGGAAGGUGGGGAUGACGUCAAGUCAUCAUGGCCCUUACGGCCAGGGCUACACACGUGCUACAAUGGCGCAUACAAAGAGAAGCGACCUCGCGAGAGCAAGCGGACCUCAUAAAGUGCGUCGUAGUCCGGAUUGGAGUCUGCAACUCGACUCCAUGAAGUCGGAAUCGCUAGUAAUCGUAGAUCAGAAUGCUACGGUGAAUACGUUCCCGGGCCUUGUACACACCGCCCGUCACACCAUGGGAGUGGGUUGCAAAAGAAGUAGGUAGCUUAACCUUC